ensembl:sense_intronic Gm42829 predicted gene 42829
GGAUUUUUGAAUUACAGGUUAGCCUGGUCUACAUAGUAAGCUCCAGGCCAGCCAGGGCUACAUAGAGAGACCCUGUCUCAAAAUGUAUAGCUUUAUUUCAAGAGUCUAGAUCGCUGACUCAUGUAACAUUGAAAUCAGUUCUGUAUUUGGCCAAUUUAAGCCAGCAGAGUGGUACACAUCUGUAAUCCCAGCACCCAGGAGUGUAAGGCAGGAGGAUUAUAAAUUUGAAGCCAAUCUAGACUUAUAGAGUGGGUUCCAGGCCCUCUUAGGCACAUAACAAGACCCUGUCUCAAGAAAAAGAGAAGUUUGAUCAGUUUUAUCAUUUGGAAGGUUUUCUUGGGUUGGUGAGACAACUUGAUGGGGAAUAGAUCUGCUACACAAAAGCCUAAAUUUAGUCUUCAGAACCAUUGCCAGAAGGAGACCCAACCCCCAAUGUUGUCCCCUGACUGCUGUCAUAUGUCACAUCCCCAUCUUCCACAGUAAUAGAUACUAUACACACACACACACACACACACACACACACACACACACACACACACACACACAAACACACCCCUGGUUGUCCUGAAACUCAGAGAUCCCCAGAUAAUCUUAAGAAAAUAAAAGAGACUGGAGAGAUUACUUAUCAGUUAAGAGCACUGGCUGCUCUUCCAGAGGACCUGAGUUCAAUUCCCAGCAACCACGUGGUGGCUCACAACCAUCUGUAACUCCAGUUUCAGAUUUGAUGCCCUUUUCUGGUCCUCUGUUGUUAACAGGCGUGCAUGUAGUACACAGAAAUAUAUGCAGGCAAAGCACCAAUACACUAAAAAUAAAAUUGAAAAAAAAAAAAACAGAAUUGCUUUCUUUUUAUGUGUGUGUACAGGAUCUUGCUAGGUACCCCUGGCUGUCCUGCAGUUAACUGUGUAGGCCAGGCUGACCUCAAACUCAUGUCUGCCAUUCUUCAGCCACCUAAAUGACCCUGGCAACCUGAAUUUGGCAAGAGAGAAUUGGGUCCCACAAGAUGUCUUUUUUUGUUUGUUUGUUUUUUUGUUUUUUGUUUUCGAGACAGGGUUUCUCUGUGUAGCCCUGGCUACCUGACUAUCCUUGGAACUCACUCUGUAGACCAGGCUGGCCUCGAACUCAGAAAUCCACCUGCCUCUGCUUCCCAAGUGCUGGUUUUAAAGGUGUGUGCCACCACUGCCCGGCCCACAAGAUGUCUCACAGGUGGCAGAUGUGCACCCCACCCAGCAUGACCCAACUUUAAGGAAAGACCCCUUAUGCGGCUGACAGAAGCAGGUGAGUGGCUGCAAAACGCUGUGUGGUCUGUAUUUCCCAGUACUCUUAGGGUCGGCAGACAUUCCGGAAAGUGCCUUCGCUGCCCUCUCUGUGGCCCCUCUGCCACGCUGGCUUUUUUGGCAGUUGUUACAGUGUCUAUGUUGGGAUUGUAUUUGGCCACAGCUACAGAAACCCCAGGCUUCUGUGCCCCUAGUUUUGUCCUUUGAGUCUAGAAAUUGGCCAAGGUGUGGCCACGUGAAGACCUCCUUGGACCUGUGCUGUCUGCCCCAUUCCACAUUGGGUGCCGCACAGGCUCCGCCCCAAGGGUGUGGCCUGUGUCUCUGCUCUUGGCCGGAAGUGGGAAGUGGCUCGAGAGAUGCUACCCAGCAGAGAACACUUCUGCCCUCCCAGGCCAUCCCAUAGGUGGCUUGCCCUUGGGACUGGCCAGAAGGGAGCUCAGAAAGAGCCGUGGUUCUACACCUAUCUUUUGUGUUGUGCUGUUGAGGACAAAGGCAAGACUGUGCAAAACUGGGUUUAUUUAUUUAAGUUUGAUUCAAAACAGUUGGCAGCUGACUGUUUCCAGGUUGGUUUUAUUUGUAAAUAUUUAUUUAUUUAUUUAUUUAUUUAUUUAUUUAUUUAUUUAUUUAUUGGUUGUUGUGUGAACGUUUUGCCUGCAUGAACGUCUAUACACCAUGCCAUUGCAGUGCCCAAAGAGACCAGAAGAGGGCAUCAGAUUCCCUGGAAUUGGAGUUCCAGACACUCCUGAGCCACUGUGAGGGUGCUGGAAACUGAACCUGUGUCCUCGGUUACCCUUUAUAAUGCAGUAUAAUUUUGGCGGGGUGGGGGUGGGAGGUUGGGGUGGAGUACCUCAGCGGGCCCACGCUGAGGCAUCCCUUGAACAAUCACACCAUAGAUAAGUCUAGUAUAAAGAAAGUUUAUUGGGGGAAGAGAAGACAUACAUGCAGACAAAACACCAUGAAAUAAAGUAAAUUAAAAAAAAAUCCUUUGUCUCCCCUACCUUUUAUGUAAAUGCCAUAACACACGCGUGCGCACACACACAUGCACACGCAUGCCUGCCACCACCAUUAAAACCCUUGUUUUCUCAGAGGUCACUGCUCCUGUCCAGGGAUUUGAUGUCCUGGAGCAAUGAUGUCUUUCCCUUCCUUAUUUCUUAAUUCCAGCGAGCUAAUUCUUCUAAGACUAGCCAACUGAAUAACACUGUGAGGUGGAGCCCAGAGAAUGAAGAAGAGGCACGAUUUUCACAUCAGUUAGAAUAAAAGCCAAGUGCACUUUGUCUUGUGUGCUUGGUUUUCUGAUCAACAAUAAACUUUGUCUUGUCC